rnacentral:tRNA from 3 species
CGCUAAGAAGCUAAACAGGACCCAGCGUUAGCCUUUUAAGCUAAAGAUUGGUGGCUACCGCCCACCCUUAGCGA